AUUGAACGCUGGCGGCAGGCCUAACACAUGCAAGUCGAACGAGUGGCGGACGGGUGAGUAAUGUCUGGGAAACUGCCUGAUGGAGGGGGAUCACUACUGGAAACGGUAGCUAAUACCGCAUACCAUCAGAUGUGCCCAGAUGGGAUUAGCUUGUUGGUGGGGUAACGGAUCACCAAGGCGACGAUACCUAGCGGGUCUGAGAGGAUGGCCAGGCCCCCUGGAACUGAAACACGGUACAGACUCCUACGCGAGGCAGAAGUGGAGAGUAUUGCACAAUGGGAGGAAGGCUAAUGCAGACCUGCCGCGUGUAGGGAAGAAGCAUUCGGGUUGUAAAGUAAUUUCGGCGUGAAGGAGUUACCCGCAGAAGAAGCACCGGCUAACUCCGUGCCAGCAGCCGCGGUAAUUC
rnacentral:rRNA from 1 species